CAUUAUAGGGAUAGGGUUUCUAUUCUCAAUUUCGUUUCUUUUUUUCUUUCCGUCUCUCCUCUGUCUCUGAGAAGGAGAAGAAGUGAAGAACUUCGUUGGAUUACUCCUCUGUCUCGUUGAUUGAUAUUGGUUUAUGUCUCAAUUCUUACUAAGAGGGUAAGACAAAGGGAAAAGAAAGGAACUGAACUGGAUUAAGUAUCAAUCAGAUUAUCUAAGGGAGUGGAGAAAGAGAAGGAAAAGGUAAUCUUGAUUAGUUGCUGAAAUUUGUUAUUGGACUAGAGACAUGCUAAGGAAGCCAAUACAACUUGAUCUUCUAUCUGAUUACAUGCCAGAUGAUGAUGUUGAAAUUUAAAAAGCGUUACUUGGUCCUAUCAACAAUAAUGCCACCACCACAAGUGUUGCUGACAUGGAUUAGAAGAUCAAGAUUCAAGACUUUGUAUUUGUCAUUGCCACCACUGUCCAGUCAUU